rnacentral:misc_RNA from 1 species
AGCAUAUAGGUCCAGAAGGAAGCGAAGAUGUAAUACAUCUCAGUAAAAAUGCUUGCAAAGGGCAGAAGACCUCCCACCAGAGAAAUAACAUAUGGUCUUAGGUACCAUUUCUUCUCAGGGAUAGGACGCGGAAUAUUCUUAACACGGCAUGGAUUGUUUGGAGUACCACUCCAGUUUCUUCCGACAACAGUACCAAGGAGGGACAGAGGCAAGGAGAUAAAAGCCCAAAUAACAAGAACUACUACGAUUGUGCCAAGGGGAAUAGCAGCUAUGGAUCCAUAAAAUAUAGCAAUGGUGUUUAGAAUGAACCCUAUCCCAAAGCACAAAAAGGGGAAA